ACCAACUCUAACCCACCUGUUUGGAUUUUUGAGGGUUAGAUGAGUUCAAUAUAACCAACUCUAACUCUAACCCUAGAAUCCAAGCAGGGCCUAAGAGAGUUGUGCAGGCCUUGUGUUGAAUGUUUUGCCCUCCGAUAGACCCCUAAGAAGGCCCACCAGGAACAGAGUUGUUGCUCGGGGGAGUUGAAGGUGCUCGGGGAAGGCCCCACGCACUUCCCCUGGCUCCUUAUGUUUGGCUGUCAUCAUGCUCGGGGGCGACACCUUGCCCAAGUUGGUCGGGGACAGGGCCGGCUUUGGCCCAGUGCGAGAGGUGCGACGGCCUACGGCCCGGCCUAAAGAGGGGCCCAUAGUAUAUAUGUCAAAGUAAAGGUAAAAAAAUCCAGAAAUAACUCACGUUCAGCCCGGCCCAGCAAGCAGCCACGCACGAGACCACCAGGUUUGUGAGCCACGGUUGCCGUUUUGUUUCCUUAAUCCUCUCUUGAUUCUUCUUGAUCAAAUCGGAAAUCAGAAAGCGGCGAACACGCACAAGGAAACAGGGAGCACGGACAGGCAACAUACAGCGGCACCUGCGCAUAGCACUGAACCAGGAGCUGAGUUUGGGGAUCACGGACAGGCGACGCAUGGCGGCACCGGCACACCGCAUGGUGGCGCCGAACCAGGAGCUGAGUUUAGGGAUCAAAUCGGCAAGAUCAUCAUUCAAAAGUGUCUCAAGAAAGACUGAAUGGUUUGGCUAUGUGCUGCAUUGAGAAGAAUAUGCUGGAUAGUAUUGAUCUUGACACUCUCAUUGAUGAUUUUGCGUCAAAAAAUACACAGAAGUCUCGUUUCCCAUGAUUACUGAAGGUUAGCAUGCUAUUUUUAUAUGUUUUAGUAUAAAAGAUUAGUUUUAUGAAUUUAUAGCAAUUGUACAUGUUCAUGUAUCGAAUAUGAUUCUUCUCACUGUUGGGCCCAUCGAUGAAGUUCGCACUGGGGCCUUUGAAAUCACAGAGCCGGCCCUGGUCGGGGAACCGUGCUCGGGGGAGUCAGUCCUGAGUACUGAUCAUUAGUGCUUUUUCUCC